UACGAGGGGGGCAGGUGUUACUCUUAUUGACUGGGCGUAAAGGGCAAGUAGGCGGGCUAGCAAGUGUUCGUCGGAAAGGCCGAGGCUCAACUUCGGACGUAGACGUCUAGACUGCUAGCCUCGAGUCCCGGGAAGAAUGGUCGCACUCCCAGUGUAGGGGUUGAAUCCGGAAAUAUUGGGGAGGACGCCCGAAGGUGAAAACAACCAUUCCGCUGGGUACUGACGCUGAGAGGCUAAAGCGUGGGGAGCAAACAGG
rnacentral:rRNA from 1 species